rnacentral:rRNA from 1 species
GACGAACGCUGGCGGCGUGCUUAACACAUGCAAGUCGAACGAAGUGGCGAAAGGGUGAGUAACGCGUAAUCAACCUGCCCUUCAGAGGGGAACAACAGUUGGAAACGACUGCUAAUACAGCAUACUGAAGGAGGGGUUUGCGUCGGAUUAGCUAGUUGGAGGGGUAAGUGCCCACCAAGGCGAUGAUCCGUAGCCGGUCUGAGAGGAUGAACGGCCACAUUGGGACUGAGACACGGCCCAGACUCCUACGGGAGGCAGCAGUGGGGAAUCUUCCGAAAUGGACGAAAGGCUUACGGAGCAACGCCGCGUGGGUGAUGACGGCCUUCGGGUUUUAAAGCUCUGUUAAGCGGGACGCGGUACCGGAAUAGAAAGCCACGGCUAACGACGUGCCAGCAGCCGCGGUAAUAC